GGACGGAAAGACCCCGAGGAGCUUUACUGCAACCUGAAAUGGAAUGAUUGUACCGCUUGUACAGGAUAGGAAGGAGCCGAAGAGACGUGAGCGCUAGCAUACGAGGAGGCAAUGGUGGGAUACUACCCAGGCUGUAUGACCAUUCUAACCCGCCACGCAAAGCGCGUGGGGAGACAGUGUCAGGUGGGCAGUUUGACUGGGGCGGUCGCCACCUAAAGAGUAACGGAGG
rnacentral:rRNA from 1 species